rnacentral:rRNA from 1 species
UGGCGGCGUGCUUAACACAUGCAAGUCGAACGAAGCACUCUAUUUGUAUUUUCUUCGGAAAUGAAGUAUUUUGUGACUGAGUGGCGGACGGGUGAGUAACGCGUGGGUAACCUGCCUCAUACGAGGGGGAUAACAGUUGGAAACGACUGCUAAUACCGCAUAAGCGCACAGGAUCGCAUGAUCCGGUGUAGAAAAACUCCGGUGGUAUGAGAUCGGACCCGCGUCUGAUUAGCCAGGUUGCAGGGUAACGGCCUACCAAAGCGACGAUCAGUAGCCGACCUGAGAGGGUGACCGGCCACAUUGGGACUGAGACACGGCCCAAACUCCUACGGGAGGCAGCAGGUGGGGAAUAUUGCACAAUGGGGGAAACCCUGAUGCAGCGACGCCGCGUGAGCGAAGAAGUAUUUCGGUAUGUAAAGCUCUAUCAGCAGGGAAGAAGAAUGACGGUACCUGACUAAGAAGCACCGGCUAAAUACGUG